CAAGUCAGGAGGAGAAAUCCCCUUCCACGCCGCACACUCUGUCACACGCCGGCGCGCCGGCCAGCGGCGGAACUCGCGACACCCGCCGGCGAAGGAGCAGCAGCACAGGAGGUGGACGGCGCGCCAGCGAGGUCGCCCAUCCAGCCUCUGCGUUUAGUUGUUUGACCAAUCGGGAAAGAAGGCGAGGAAGGGAGGAGAGGAGCGGAGAGGAAAGGAGGAGGGGAGGAUGCCGCACCACGCGCGGCCGAUGACGGGGCUGCUGCUGUUCACGGGAGUCAACCUGGUGCUCCUCAACACCAUCACCCCCGUCUAUGACUUCGUCUGCUUCCACCCCUACUGGGAACGCAGGAGAGAACGUCGUCAAAAGGAGCGUAAAGCACUACAAGCCAAUGGUUCUCUACAAACUGCUAAAUGAUUUUAUUCCUAGGUAUGUGCGUGACACUCCUUGAGAAAAAUCUGUUUGAUGGAAGUGUUCAUUUUUAUAACCACUUCAGGAGUAGCUUCACAAUUUGGUGGAUGUGAAAGGAAGGUGAGAAUCCCCAAUUUAUCUGUUGUUUUACUACUUGGUUAGUUGGAUGAAACCCUGGAUUCUUCAUUGAUAUGGAGUGAAGAAAAUUUUAUAGGCAGGUAAUAUUGUGAUGCUCUUCAGAUAUGAGUAGAUCUCCGCACUCCAGGUCUUGCUUUCAUAAUGCUACUCAACUGCAUCAUCACAUCCUUGUAAAAUUACCGAGGAAACUAGAUCUGAUGAAUAUUGUUUCUUGAAACUACCUUUAUGUAUCUCUUAUCUUCUCAUACUCAUCUGGCUAUAACAUAGUAAAUGAAAACCACUGUUUGGCUCAAGCCAUUUAUUCUGAUCAGGAUCCUAUUAA